GUGGGGGAAACCAAGACUUAGCUGCUAACUCAGUACACCAGGAAUAGCCACCCUGGCCCCUUCG
rnacentral:tRNA from 1 species